CAACUGUUGUGGUGGUUAUGGUGUCCUGGGUUCCACUUGCUGCCAACACUCAUCUGUUGUAAAAAGCUCCUCUAAGGUUUCCAGUUAGUUCCACUAAGCUACUGUAGUGGCUAUAGUGUUGCUGCCAACACUCCUCUGCUGUAAAAAGCUCCUCUAAGGUUUCCAGUUAGCUCCACUAAGCUACUUUAGUGGCUAUAGUGUUGCUGCCAACACUCCUCUGCUGUAAAAAGCUCCUCUAAAGUUUCCAGUUAGCUCCACUAAGCUACUGUAGUGGCUAUGGUGUCCUGGGUUCCACUUGCUGCCAACACUCCUGCUACAAAAAGCUCCUGCAAGGCUUCCAGUAAGCUCUACUGAGCUAAGCUCCAGCGUUCAGGGCUGCAGUCGUUGGCUGAGAGGAUCAGCUGAGUGGUCUAUGUCAAUAAGUGCAGCCAGGCGUAGCAGGCUACUGAAACUUUAAGUGGUGUGUCUACUUAUUGUGGGAUGUUGCAAGGGCACUAUAU